GCCCCCGUGGUCUAUCGGUUAGGACACCACCCUUUCAAGGUGGUAGGACGGGUUCGAUUCCCGUCGGGGGUA
rnacentral:tRNA from 1 species